UGAAUUUCGAUGCACAAGCACAGCUGCAC
rnacentral:piRNA from 1 species